GACGAACGCUGGCGGCGUGCCUAAUACAUGCAAGUCGAACGAACUCUGGUAUUGAUUGGUGCUUGCAUCAUGAUUUACAUUUGAGUGAGUGGCGAACUGGUGAGUAACACGUGGGAAACCUGCCCAGAAGCGGGGGAUAACACCUGGAAACAGAUGCUAAUACCGCAUAACAACUUGGACCGCAUGGUCCGAGNUUGAAAGAUGGCUUCGGCUAUCACUUUUGGAUGGUCCCGCGGCGUAUUAGCUAGAUGGUGGGGUAACGGCUCACCAUGGCAAUGAUACGUAGCCGACCUGAGAGGGUAAUCGGCCACAUUGGGACUGAGACACGGCCCAAACUCCUACGGGAGGCAGCAGUAGGGAAUCUUCCACAAUGGACGAAAGUCUGAUGGAGCAACGCCGCGUGAGUGAAGAAGGGUUUCGGCUCGUAAAACUCUGUUGUUAAAGAAGAACAUAUCUGAGAGUAACUGUUCAGGUAUUGACGGUAUUUAACCAGAAAGCCACGGCUAACUACGUGCCAGCAGCCGCGGUAAUACGUAGGUGGCAAGCGUUGUCCGGAUUUAUUGGGCGUAAAGCGAGCGCAGGCGGUUUUUUAAGUCUGAUGUGAAAGCCUUCGGCUCAACCGAAGAAGUGCAUCGGAAACUGGGAAACUUGAGUGCAGAAGAGGACAGUGGAACUCCAUGUGUAGCGGUGAAAUGCGUAGAUAUAUGGAAGAACACCAGUGGCGAAGGCGGCUGUCUGGUCUGUAACUGACGCUGAGGCUCGAAAGUAUGGGUAGCAAACAGGAUUAGAUACCCUGGUAGUCCAUACCGUAAACGAUGAAUGCUAAGUGUUGGAGGGUUUCCGCCCUUCAGUGCUGCAGCUAACGCAUUAAGCAUUCCGCCUGGGGAGUACGGCCGCAAGGCUGAAACUCAAAGGAAUUGACGGGGGCCCGCACAAGCGGUGGAGCAUGUGGUUUAAUUCGAAGCUACGCGAAGAACCUUACCAGGUCUUGACAUACUAUGCAAAUCUAAGAGAUUAGACGUUCCCUUCGGGGACAUGGAUACAGGUGGUGCAUGGUUGUCGUCAGCUCGUGUCGUGAGAUGUUGGGUUAAGUCCCGCAACGAGCGCAACCCUUAUUAUCAGUUGCCAGCAUUAAGUUGGGCACUCUGGUGAGACUGCCGGUGACAAACCGGAGGAAGGUGGGGAUGACGUCAAAUCAUCAUGCCCCUUAUGACCUGGGCUACACACGUGCUACAAUGGAUGGUACAACGAGUUGCGAACUCGCGAGAGUAAGCUAAUCUCUUAAAGCCAUUCUCAGUUCGGAUUGUAGGCUGCAACUCGCCUACAUGAAGUCGGAAUCGCUAGUAAUCGCGGAUCAGCAUGCCGCGGUGAAUACGUUCCCGGGCCUUGUACACACCGCCCGUCACACCAUGAGAGUUUGUAACACCCAAAGUCGGUGGGGUAACCUUUUAGGAACCAGCCGCCUAAGGUGGGACAGAUGAUUAGGGUGAAG
rnacentral:rRNA from 3 species